rnacentral:rRNA from 1 species
UACGGAGGAUCCGAGCGUUAUCCGGAUUUAUUGGGUUUAAAGGGUGCGUAGGUGGCCUGUUAAGUCAGGGGUGAAAGACGGUAGCUCAACUAUCGCAGUGCCCUUGAUACUGAUGGGCUUGAAUGAACUAGAGGUAGGCGGAAUGUGAUAAGUAGCGGUGAAAUGCAUAGAUAUGUCACAGAACACCAAUUGCGAAGGCAGCUUACUAUGGUUUUAUUGACACUGAGGCACGAAAGCGUGGGGAUCAAACAGG